GUCGACGGGAUCUGACCAGCUUGCUGGUUGGUGAGAGUGGCGAACGGGUGAGUAAUGCGUGACCAACCUGCCCCAUGCUCCAGAAUAGCUCUUGGAAACGGGUGGUAAUGCUGGAUGCUCCAACUUGACGCAUGUCUUGUUGGGAAAGUGUUUAGUGGCAUGGGAUGGGGUCGCGUCCCAUCAGCUUGUAGGCGGGGUAAUGGCCCACCUAGGCUUCGACGGGUAGCCGGCCUGAGAGGGCGGACGGCCACAUUGGGACUGAGAUACGGCCCAGACUCCUACGGGAGGCAGCAGUGGGGAAUAUUGCGCAAUGGGGGGAACCCUGACGCAGCGACGCCGCGUGCGGGAUGAAGGCCUUCGGGUUGUAAACCGCUUUUGAUUGGGAGCAAGCCUUUUGGGUGAGUGUACCUUUCGAAUAAGCGCCGGCUAACUACGUGCCAGCAGCCGCGGUAAUACGUAGGGCGCAAGCGUUAUCCGGAAUUAUUGGGCGUAAAGAGCUUGUAGGCGGUUCGUCGCGUCUGGUGUGAAAGCCCAUCGCUUAACGGUGGGUUUGCGCCGGGUACGGGCGGGCUAGAGUGCAGUAGGGGAGACUGGAAUUCUCGGUGUAACGGUGGAAUGUGUAGAUAUCGGGAAGAACACCAAUGGCGAAGGCAGGUCUCUGGGCUGUUACUGACGCUGAGAAGCGAAAGCGUGGGGAGCGAACAGGAUUAGAUACCCUGGUAGUCCACGCCGUANACGGUGGACGCUNNNUGUGGGGCCCAUUCCACGGGUUCUGUGUCGGAGCNUACGCGUUAAG
rnacentral:rRNA from 1 species